AUACGGAGGGUGCGAGCGUUAAUCGGAAUUACUGGGCGUAAAGGGUGCGUAGGCGGCUUGAUAAGUCGGAUGUGAAAGCCCCGGGCUUAACCUGGGAAUUGCAUUCGAUACUGUCAGGCUAGAGUAUGUCAGAGGUUGGCGGAAUUCCUGGUGUAGCGGUGAAAUGCGUAGAUAUCAGGGGGAACACCAGUGGCGAAGGCGGCUAACUGGGACAAUACUGACGCUGAGGCACGAAAGCGUGGGGAGCAAACAGGAUUAGAAACCCCAGUAGUCC
rnacentral:rRNA from 1 species